rnacentral:rRNA from 1 species
UACGUAGGGUGCAAUCGUUAAUCGGAAUUACUGGGCGUAAAGCGUGCGCAGGCGGUGAUGUAAGACCGAUGUGAAAUCCCCGGGCUUAACCUGGGAACUGCAUUGGUGACUGCAUUGCUGGAGUAUGGCAGAGGGGGGUGGAAUUCCACGUGUAGCAGUGAAAUGCGUAGAGAUGUGGAGGAACACCGAUGGCGAAGGCAGCCCCCUGGGCCAAUACUGACGCUCAUGCACGAAAGCGUGGGGAGCAAACAGG